rnacentral:misc_RNA from 1 species
AAGUCGUAACAAGGUUUCCGUAGGUGAACCUGCGGAAGGAUCAUUAACACGUAUCCAAACGUUAAAACCCCCCCCGUGAAUCCUUGCACAAUCAAUGACACUUUCCGACACUGACUGCUUGGAGAAACAUUGCCUAUAGAACUACCGCUCGAUUGUAACUGUUCCAAUGUUCGCACGUAGCCAGAGGUCUCUGAAUCACUACAACUUUCCGGGCUAUGAUUUAUCAGAGAUUGCGAACUACGCGGGUUACAAGAGCAGGAUGAAGGUAGCGCUUCUACGAUUCCUGUAGACCGUACACUCGGGCAGCAGCUUUGCCAAAGGGUCCCCAUGCCCCCUAAUAACCCCACAGUUUAAUGUGAAGCUCAAUGUAAUACAUUGGGUAAAAAAACCGAACAACUGUUAACAAUGGAUAUCUUGGUUCUC